rnacentral:rRNA from 1 species
CAGCACCUCAAGUGGUCAGGAUGAUUAUUGGGCCUAAAGCAUCCGUAGCCGGCGCUGUAAGUUUUCGGUUAAAUCUGUACGCUCAACGUACAGGCUGCCGGGAAUACUGCAGCGCUAGGGAGUGGGAGAGGUAGACGGUACUCGGUAGGAAGGGGUAAAAUCCUUUGAUUUAUUGAUGACCACCUGUGGCGAAGGCGGUCUACCAGAACACGUCCGACGGUGAGGGAUGAAAGCUGGGGGAGCAAACCGGAUUAGAGACCCGAGUAGUCC